rnacentral:rRNA from 1 species
GUACACUCCUACGGGAGGCAGCAGUGGGGAAUAUUGGACAAUGGGCGCAAGCCUGAUCCAGCCAUGCCGCGUGAGUGAUGAAGGCCCUAGGGUUGUAAAGCUCUUUCACCGGUGAAGAUAAUGACGGUAACCGGAGAAGAAGCCCCGGCUAACUUCGUGCCAGCAGCCGCGGUAAUACGAAGGGGGCUAGCGUUGUUCGGAUUUACUGGGCGUAAAGCGCACGUAGGCGGACUAUUAAGUCAGGGGUGAAAUCCCGGGGCUCAACCCCGGAACUGCCUUUGAUACUGGUAGUCUUGAGUUCGAGAGAGGUGAGUGGAAUUCCGAGUGUAGAGGUGAAAUUCGUAGAUAUUCGGAGGAACACCAGUGGCGAAGGCGGCUCACUGGCUCGAUACUGACGCUGAGGUGCGAAAGCGUGGGGAGCAAACAGGAUUAGAUACCCCUGUAGUCCCA